GAAUUUGUUUUGUUAAUUCCAUACACCAAAUAAAACUACAAAAGAGCCAGAUCAGUCAUUUAUAACUAAAAUUGAUUUUUUGGACGUUUGGUCCAGAUAGAAAGUAUAACACAACUAAUAUAAUCUAAAUAAGAAAAAAAGUGCACUCCAAGAUGAAAGCCUAGGGUAACAUUAUUAGUAAUCCUACCUCCCAUGUGAGGAAUGGUUUUCUGCUUGUAGCUUUUCUAAUGGCAGAUUGAUAUUAACCUGAUAUCCAUAGCAGCUCAU
rnacentral:misc_RNA from 1 species